rnacentral:rRNA from 1 species
CUGAGCAGCAACGCCGCGUGAGGGACGACGGCCUUCGGGUUGUAAACCUCUUUUAGCAGGGAAGAAGCGAAAGUGACGGUACCUGCAGAAAAAGCGCCGGCUAACUACGUGCCAGCAGCCGCGGUAAUACGUAGGGCGCAAGCGUUAUCCGGAAUUAUUGGGCGUAAAGAGCUCGUAGGCGGUCUGUCGCGUCUGCUGUGAAAACCCGAGGCUCAACCUCGGGCCUGCAGUGGGUACGGGCAGACUAGAGUGCGGUAGGGGAGAUUGGAAUUCCUGGUGUAGCGGUGGAAUGCGCAGAUAUCAGGAGGAACACCGAUGGCGAAGGCAGAUCUCUGGGCCGUAACUGACGCUGAGGAGCGAAAGGGUGGGGAGCAAACAGGCUUAGAUACCCUGGUAGUCCACCCCGUAAACGUUGGGAACUAGUUGUGGGGUCCAUUCCACGGAUUCCGUGACGCAGCUAACGCAUUAAGUUCCCCGCCUGGGGAGUACGGCCGCAAGGCUAAAACUCAAAGGAAUUGACGG